GCGCCCGUAGCUCAGCUGGAUAGAGCAUCCGCCUUCUAAGCGGAGGGUCGCAGGUUCGAAUCCUGCCGGGCGCGCCA
rnacentral:tRNA from 2 species